UAAUACGUAGGAUCCGAGCGUUGUCCGAAUUUACUGGGCGUAAAGAGCGCGUAGGCGGUUUGUUAAGUCUCAUGUGUAAUCUCCCGGCUCAACUGGGAGGGGUCAUGGGAUACUGGCAGACUUGAGGAUAGCAGAGGAAAGCGGAAUUCCCGGAGUAGUGGUGAAAUGCGUAGAUACCGGGAGGAACACCAGAGGCGAAGGCGGCUUUCUGGGCUAUUUCUGACGCUGAGGCGCGAAAGCGUGGGGAGCGAACCGGAUUAGAUACCCGGGUAGUCCACGCCCUAAACGAUGGAUACUAGAUGUUGGGGGUAUAGACCCCCCCAGUGUCGAAGCUAACGCGAUAAGUAUCCCGCCUGGGGAGUACGGCCGCAAGGCUA
rnacentral:rRNA from 1 species